GAUGAACGCUGGCGGCGUGCUUAACACAUGCAAGUCGAACGGAAAGGCUCCUGCUUGCAGGGGUACUCGAGUGGCGAACGGGUGAGUAACACGUGGGUGAUCUGCCCUGCACUUCGGGAUAAGCCUGGGAAACUGGGUCUAAUACCGGAUAGGACGAUGGUUUGGAUGCCAUUGUGGAAAGUUUUUCGGUGUGGGAUGAGCUCGCGGCCUAUCAGCUUGUUGGUGGGGUAAUGGCCUACCAAGGCGUCGACGGGUAGCCGGCCUGAGAGGGUGUACGGCCACAUUGGGACUGAGAUACGGCCCAGACUCCUACGGGAGGCAGCAGUGGGGAAUAUUGCACAAUGGGCGCAAGCCUGAUGCAGCGACGCCGCGUGGGGGAUGACGGCCUUCGGGCUGUAAACUCCUUUCGCUAGGGACGAAGCGUUUUGUGACGGUACCUGGAGAAGAAGCACCGGCUAACUACGUG
rnacentral:rRNA from 1 species